rfam:Ixodes scapularis strain Wikel colony gcontig_1108378948098, whole genome shotgun sequence.
GCAGUCGUAGCUGAGUGGUUAAGGUGAUGGACUAGAAAUCCAUUGGGGUCUCCCCGCAUAGGUUCAAAUCCUGUCGACAGCA